GACGAACGCUGGCGGCGUGCUUAACACAUGCAAGUCGAACGGAAAGGCCUGCUUUCCCUUGUGGAUUGCGGGUACUCGAGUGGCGAACGGGUGAGUAACACGUGAGUGAUCUGCCCCCAACUUGGGUAUAAGCCUGGGAAACUGGGUCUAAUUCCCGAUAGGACUGCAGGGUGGUGCCUGUGGUGGAAAACGAUUUUCUAGUGGUUGGGGAUGAGCUCGCGGCCUAUCAGCUUGUUGGUGGGGUAAUGGCCUACCAAGGCGGCGACGGGUAGCCGGCCUGAGAGGGUGGACGGGCAAAUUGGGACUGAGAUACGGCCCAGACACCUACGGGAGGCAGCAGUGGGGAAUAUUGCACAAUGGGCGGAAGCCUGAUGCAGCGACGCCGCGUGGGGGAUGACGGCCUUCGGGUUGUAAACUCCUUGCGACCGCGAGGAAGCCACCUGGUUGGAAGGGUGGUGACGGUAGUGGUAGAAGAAGCACCGGCUAACUACGUG
rnacentral:rRNA from 1 species